rnacentral:rRNA from 1 species
UGCAAGUCGAGCGGACAGAAGGGAGCUUGCUCCCGGAUGUUAGCGGCGGACGGGUGAGUAACACGUGGGUAACCUGCCUGUAAGACUGGGAUAACUCCGGGAAACCGGAGCUAAUACCGGAUAGUUCCUUGAACCGCAUGGUUCAAGGAUGAAAGACGGUUUCGGCUGUCACUUACAGAUGGACCCGCGGCGCAUUAGCUAGUUGGUGAGGUAACGGCUCACCAAGGCGACGAUGCGUAGCCGACCUGAGAGGGUGAUCGGCCACACUGGGACUGAGACACGGCCCAAACUCCUACGGGAGGCAGCAGUAGGGAAUCUUCCGCAAUGGACGAAAGUCUGACGGAGCAACGCCGCGUGAGUGAUGAAGGUUUUCGGAUCGUAAAGCUCUGUUGUUAGGGAAGAACAAGUGCAAGAGUAACUGCUUGCACCUUGACGGUACCUAACCAGAAAGCCACGGCUAACUACGUGCCAGCAGCCGCGGUAAUACGUAGGUGGCAAGCGUUGUCCGGAAUUAUUGGGCGUAAAGGGCUCCCAGGCGGUUUCUUAAUUCUGAUGUGAAAGCCCCCGGCUCACCCGGGGA